AUUGAACGCUGGCGGCAGGCCUAACACAUGCAAGUCGAGCGAGCGGCGGACGGGUGAGUAAUGUCUGGGAAACUGCCUGAUGGAGGGGGAUAACUACUGGAAACGGUAGCUAAUACCGCAUACCAUCAGAUGUGCCCAGAUGGGAUUAGCUAGUUGGUGGGGUAAUGGCUCACCAAGGCGCCGAUCCCUAGCUGGUCUGAGAGGAUGACAAGCCACACUGGAACUGAGACACGGUCCAGACUCCUACGGGAGGCAGCAGUGGGGAGUAUUGAACAAUGGGCGCAAGCCGGAUGCAGCCAUGCCGCGUGUGUGAAGAAGGCCUUCGGGUUGUAAAGCACUUUCAGCGAGGAGGCGUUAAGCGCAGAAGAAGGACCGGCUAACUCCGUGCCAGCAGCCGCGGUAAUAC
rnacentral:rRNA from 1 species